CAGCGAUGCUUCUGUCAAUCACCAAUUCGACUGUAGAAGGAAAGGAACACAAAGGAAGAGCCGAAGACGUCAGGGGGGGGCCAGAAAUAUUAUCACUGCAAGCACAGAGUUGAGUAGUCGACGCGAGAGGCUGCCGCCGCUUCACAUUCGCAGGAUAUUCCCUCUUCCUAUCGUUUUGCUCUCGCAAGCGGCCUCGAUUUUUCCAAUGUCCUAAUGACAGUUGUGCCAAACUUUACAAGGUGCGCAGCUCUCAGACAAGAAGCAAAAGCAGGAAUGCAAGUUGCUCAGAAGGACUGCCGCUAUACUCUUUGUAGAUUAGCUGCAGAAGCCUUGUUUUGGGAGGCACCACGUUGCUCCUAACACCUCUUUUAUACGUCCGGCACUUCUCAUAAAGCUAUUGGGGCCCACAAGCUGGGCAAUCUGCCUUUGGUAUCAAUGAUUGGAGCAGGGACGUUGCAUUCGAAUGUAGACAAUAGUAAAGUGGUGGAUCGUACCCUCAACCAAGCGCCUUUGCCCCCCCCCCUCCCGCUGUUUUCACAGCAGUGCUUGCUUGUCUAUUUUUUUUUGACUCAACCUCGUUUUUCGUUUUCUUUGGGGAUCGCUGUCUCCUUCCGCUGCACGAUGCCAUGAAGAAUCUGUUACUCAAACCCCUUUUCAACAUCAGGUCGCACUUGUUCUCCCGCAAUAAUUGGUAUUCACUAUGGACGUCGAGAUUGCCGUAAAAUACAUCUACGCCGCCAUACUGAUGGUCUUUUCCGUCGUCACUGUUGAGGGGUCCAAAGCUUCCACUGACGGCGCUGCAAAGAUGCGACGCAUACUGCGGAAGUUCAUGUAAGCCGUUCUCCAGGUUGUCGACUUGCAGCGUCAUACAACAGAGGAUGGGUAUGUAGUGUCCGCCUCUGUUGCCACGAGUAGAGCAAAACAAACAAACAAAAAAAAAACAUCGCCACCGCGUGCGCUGCUUUCCUUUUCCACCGAUGGUGAGCAUCAUAUCUAUUUGUAUGUGAGUGCAUAUCGGUAGUGUAGAUGGCUUUUAUGACAUCCGAAUCACAGUAAGAACCUUUUUGUAUUACCAUAUCAGUGUACGACGUAUAGCAAACAUUACUCUUGUCCAUGCCUGCAUUGCUUUGUAGUGCCGGAUCACACUCUCCGAACAGACAUCCAUUGAGCAGAUUCUGGCCAACGCAGCUUGGUCCCUCCAGCAAACUCCACUCGCUUUUGUCUUUUGACCCCUCUUCAUCGGCUUGGAGGGCAUGCUCCAUAUAUCUAGUUGGGAUGAUCCCAGGUUGAGCUGUGCUCUUUCUCUUUCGUCUCUCCAUCUUUGAUCCUGUUUCUGCGUUUCCACACACAUUGGAUUCUUUCAG
rnacentral:misc_RNA from 1 species